rnacentral:rRNA from 1 species
UACAGAGGUCUCAAGCGUUGUUCGGAUUCAUUGGGCGUAAAGGGUGCGUAGGCGGCGCGGUAAGUCGGGUGUGAAAUCUUGGAGCUUAACUCCGAAACUGCAUUCGAUACUGCCGUGCUUGAGGACUGGAGAGGAGACUGGAAUUUACGGUGUAGCGGUGAAAUGCGUAGAUAUCGUAAGGAAGACCAGUGGCGAAGGCGGGUCUCUGGGACAGUUCCUGACGCUGAGGUGCGAAAGCGUGGGGAGCAAACAGG